rnacentral:tRNA from 1 species
GUCAAAAGUUAAAAGACAAAAGUCAAAAGUAGUUAUUUACUUUUGAAUUUUGGAUUUUGAAUUUUGAAUUGUAUUUGGGGUAUUAGCUCAGGUGGUUAGAGCGCACCCCUGAUAAGGGUGAGGUCCCUGGUUCGAGUCCAGGAUGGCCCACCUGAAGCAAGUAUGAAGUGUAAAGUAGGUAGUGUGAAAUAAUUUGUUGUUUCAGAAUUCAAAAGUGAGACUUCAAACUUCUUAUGGGGGUUUAGCUCAGUUGGUAGAGCGCCUGCUUUGCAAGCAGGAUGUCAGCGGUUUGAGUCCGCUAACCUCCACCUAGAAAGUAGAACAACCAAAGAAAAAGGAAAAAGAAACAGCACCUAAGUAGUUGUUAGACUGCUGGGUCUUGUUCCAGCCAGAACCUUGAAAACUGCAUAGAAACGCGAUAAAUAGCAGGCAGACACAGACAA